GGGUUGUGAGGUUAAGCGAAUAAGCGUACACGGUGGAUGCCUAGGCAAUCAGAGGCGAUGAAGGACGUGCUAAUCUGCGAAAAGCGUCGGUAAGGUGAUAUGAACCGUUAUACCCGACGAUAUCCGAAUGGGGAAACCCAGUAUCCAAUGGAUACUAUCAUUAACUGAAUCCAUAGGUUAAUGAGGCGAACCGGGAGAACUGAAACAUCUCAGUACCCCGAGGAAAAGAAAUCAACCGAGAUUCCCCUAGUAGCGGCGAGCGAACGGGGAGCAGCCCAGAGUCUUAAUCAAUAACAGUGUCAGGAGAACGGUCUGGAAAGUCCGGCAGUAAAGGGUGAUAGCCCCGUAUCUGAAGAUGCUGUUAUUGUGAACUCGACGAGUAGGGCGGGACACGUGUUAUCCUGUCUGAAUAUGGGGGGACCAUCCUCCAAGGCUAAAUACUCCUGAUUGACCGAUAGUGAACCAGUACCGUGAGGGAAAGGCGAAAAGAACCCCGGCGAGGGGAGUGAAAAAGAACCUGAAACCGUGUACGUACAAGCAGUAGGAGCCUCUUUAUGGGGUGACUGCGUACCUUUUGUAUAAUGGGUCAGCGACUUAUAUUCUGUAGCAAGGUUAACCGCAUAGGGGAGCCGUAGGGAAACCGAGUCUUAACUGGGCGAAUGAGUUGCAGGGUAUAGACCCGAAACCCGGUGAUCUAUCCAUGGGCAGGUUGAAGGUUGGGUAACACUAACUGGAGGACCGAACCGACUAAUGUUGAAAAAUUAGCGGAUGACUUGUGGAUGGGGGUGAAAGGCCAAUCAAACCGGGAGAUAGCUGGUUCUCCCCGAAAGCUAUUUAGGUAGCGCCUCGUGAACUCAUCUUCGGGGGUAGAGCACUGUUUCGACUAGGGGGUCAUCCCGACUUACCAACUCGAUGCAAACUGCGAAUACCGAAGAAUGUUAUCACGGGAGACACACGGCGGGUGCUAACGUCCGUCGUGAAGAGGGAAACAACCCAGACCGCCAGCUAAGGUCCCAAAGUCAUGGUUAAGUGGGAAACGAAGUGGGAAGGCUCAGACAGCCAGGAUGUUGGCUUAGAAGCAGCCAUCAUUUAAAGAAAGCGUAAUAGCUCACUGGUCGAGUCGGCCCGCGCGGAAGAUGUAACGGGGCUAAACCAUGCACCGAAGCUGCGGCAGCGACACGUAGUGUUGUUGGGUAGGGGAGCGUUCUGUAAGCCUGCGAAGGUGUACUGUGAGGUAUGCUGGAGGUAUCAGAAGUGCGAAUGCUGACAUAAGUAACGAUAAUGCGGGUGAAAAACCCGCACGCCGGAAGACCAAGGGUUCCUGUCCAACGUUAAUCGGGGCAGGGUGAGUCGACCCCUAAGGCGAGGCUGAAAAGCGUAGUCGAUGGGAAACGGGUUAAUAUUCCCGUACUGGUGGUAACUGCGAUGGGGGAACGGAGAAGGCUAGGUUGUCCGGGCGACGGUCGUCCCGGUUCAAGCAGGUAGGCAGAGUGAUUAGGCAAAUCCGGUCACUUAAUGCUGAGAUGUGAUGACGAACCACCAAGGUGGUGAAGCAAUUGAUGCCCCGCUUCCAGGAAAAGCCUCUAAGCUUCAGGUUACCAACAAUCGUACCCCAAACCGACACAGGUGGUCAGGUAGAGAAUACUCAGGCGCUUGAGAGAACUCGGGUGAAGGAACUAGGCAAAAUGGUGCCGUAACUUCGGGAGAAGGCACGCUGGCGGUAGGUAAAGUCCCUCGCGGACGGCGCUGAAGCCAGUCGAAGAUACCAGCUGGCUGCAACUGUUUAUUAAAAACACAGCACUGUGCAAACACGAAAGUGGACGUAUACGGUGUGACGCCUGCCCGGUGCUGGAAGGUUAAUUGAUGGGGUUAGCCGUAAGGCGAAGCUCCUGAUCGAAGCCCCAGUAAACGGCGGCCGUAACUAUAACGGUCCUAAGGUAGCGAAAUUCCUUGUCGGGUAAGUUCCGACCUGCACGAAUGGCGUAAUGAUGGCCAGGCUGUCUCCACCCGAGACUCAGUGAAAUUGAACUCGCUGUGAAGAUGCAGUGUACCCGCGGCAAGACGGAAAGACCCCGUGAACCUUUACUAUAGCUUGACACUGAACAUUGAGCCUUGAUGUGUAGGAUAGGUGGGAGGCUUUGAAGUGUGGACGCCAGUCUGCAUGGAGCCAACCUUGAAAUACCACCCUUUAACGUUUGAUGUUCUAACCUAGGCCCAUAAACUGGGUCGGGGACCGUGUCUGGUGGGUAGUUUGACUGGGGCGGUCUCCUCCUAAAGAGUAACGGAGGAGCACGAAGGUUGGCUAAGCAUGGUCGGACAUCAUGCGGUUAGUGCAAAGGCAUAAGCCAGCUUGACUGCGAGAGUGACGGCUCGAGCAGGUACGAAAGUAGGUCUUAGUGAUCCGGUGGUUCUGAAUGGAAGGGCCAUCGCUCAACGGAUAAAAGGUACUCCGGGGAUAACAGGCUGAUACCGCCCAAGAGUUCAUAUCGACGGCGGUGUUUGGCACCUCGAUGUCGGCUCAUCACAUCCUGGGGCUGAAGUAGGUCCCAAGGGUAUGGCUGUUCGCCAUUUAAAGUGGUACGCGAGCUGGGUUUAGAACGUCGUGAGACAGUUCGGUCCCUAUCUGCCGUGGGCGUUGGAAGAUUGAGAGGGGUUGCUCCUAGUACGAGAGGACCGGAGUGAACGCACCACUGGUGUUCGGGUUGUCAUGCCAAUGGCAUUGCCCGGUAGCUAAGUGCGGAAGAGAUAACCGCUGAAAGCAUCUAAGCGGGAAACUUGCCUCGAGAUGAGUCUUCCCUGUCACUUUAAGUGACCUAAAGGAACGUUUAAGACUAAGACGUUGAUAGGCUGGGUGUGUAAGCGUAGCGAUACGUUGAGCUAACCAGUACUAAUGAACCGUGAGGCUUAACCUGACAACACCGAAAGUGUUUUG
rnacentral:rRNA from 1 species